GCAGGAAUACUAACUAGUGGUAGCAAUGUUGUAGUCUCAUACGCGUAUUUUGUUCUUUCUGGGAGUCAAUCGGAGGCUUGAUGAGUGGUUGAAUCUUGAACUACUAGAACUCGAUUUGGCGGAGGCUGUCGUUGAUGAGAAAUUGGAGAACAACGCAAUGACUUUAUGUUGUCCAAAUUGUUUUUAGCAUUGGUUUAUGCCUGGGAAGCUUUUGUGGAGAAGCGGAUUUGCAGGUUUCAUGGAAACGAUCAAGGAUAUCUUAAAAAAAAUCAUUUUGCUCUCGUUAGUUUAUCUGAAGCGGUAGGGUUUAUGUAAUUUCCUAUCGACUGGGCUUUGCUUCUGUCUGGAAAAUUAAAUAGAAGAGAGAAAGUUAAUUGUAAGAGGUAAAAAGUGCUUAUGUCUGUCAAUAAUUAUCAGUCACUAUUUUUCUUCUCUUGUCCUUUCAUUUUCUAAACAAAGAGGUACUCUUGUUGUAUUUUGUAUGUGGCUUGAAGAUGACACGCCACCAAAAGAGGAAGAUUGAUGAGACACACGUGGAUGUAUUCAACAUGCGUAUUUUUUGACCAGAAUCAAGAAAUAUGCAAACUCGAAAUAAUGCCUUCUAGGCUUGAAGAUUUGUGAUAUUUCUAUUUGCACAGUUAAAGAGAGUGGGCGAGGUAUUUGAAUUUCAAAUCAUUGGUACGAAAAUUGGGAGAGUGAUUGGAUUCGAGAUCGCUGGAAUUGUUUAACUGUUUUGUUACUAUAUGUCUAUAUGGUGUUUAAUAUUUGUGUGGGAAGGAGUGAAUGGGGGAUUAAAUGCAUCACAAAGCCACAUGAAAUACAUAAUGUUGAUGGGUGCUAUAUAAUCUUGUGAUAGCUAGUUAGAGAGACAAAGUAAUGCUUUUUAUAUGCAGGUCUGACUACUAUUGAACGUGGAAGCAGACCAUGUGUAUGAAUUUGUGUCAUUUGCUACAUACAGGGCUAUGAGGAGCUUGACGCUACCAGCUUACGAGACACUAGGAACUCACAAAAGUGAAGAAUAUCACUAUUACUGAACUAGGACAAUAUGAGAUUGAGACAUGAGGAAAUGUGAUCUCAAGCAUCCUCCUGGAGGUGAGAUAUACAGAAGCGAUACAUUGUCAAUGUUUGAGGAAAAGCAUUCAGAAGAAGGGUGAGUCGUCGCGCAGGUUGAUGGUGCCUUUGCCCAUUCGAGCCAUACAGCUGGCCGCGGUGGUCUAUUAGUGAACCACAUGGGUAAUGUUCUAGAAGCUUUUGCUCUACACAUUGGAGCCGGAGAUGCUCUCUUUGCUGAGUUAUGGGGGUGCCUUUUGGGCUUGCCAGGAGCUUGGGAUAGUGGGUGUAGAAAAGUCGUCUUGAGAAGUGAUUGCUCUAAAGCCAUUGACCUAAUUAGAGAUGGUGCAACUGAUAUGUAUGUGGACUGGCGACUGGUUUUAGAAAUCCUUAAAAAACAUAGAAGAUUUGCUUCUAUUUACUCUUGUGUUGAGAACGCGAAAAUACAAUCGUUGAAAAAGCCCAAUUUGUUC